AUUGAACGCUGGCGGCAGGCCUAACACAUGCAAGUCGAACGGUAGCACAGAGAGCUUGCUCUCGGGUGACGAGUGGCGGACGGGUGAGUAAUGUCUGAGAAACUGCCUGAUGGAGGGGGAUAACUACUGGAAACGGUAGCUAAUACCGCAUAACGUCGCAAGACCAAAGAGGGGGACCUUCGGGCCUCUUGCCAUCAGAUGUGCCCAGAUGGGAUUAGCUAGUAGGUGGGGUAACGGCUCACCUAGGCGACGAUCCCUAGCUGGUCUGAGAGGAUGACCAGCCACACUGGAACUGAGACACGGUCCAGACUCCUACGGGAGGCAGCAGUGGGGAAUAUUGCACAAUGGGCGCAAGCCUGAUGCAGCCAUGCCGCGUGUAUGAAGAAGGCCUUCGGGUUGUAAAGUACUUUCAGCGGGGAGGAAGGUGUUGCGGUUAAUAACCGCAGUAAUUGACGUUACCCGCAGAAGGAGCACCGGCUAACUCCGUGCCAGCAGCCGCAGUAA
rnacentral:rRNA from 1 species